AUAGAUACGAUCGAAUGAAUGAAUGAAUGAAUGAAUGAAUGAAUGAAUGAACCUAGCGGCGGCCAUUUAUGGUGCCGGCUGACUCUGCUUCCCCCCCCAACUCCCUCCAGCCCGGCCCGUUCCUAACGAAGCAAAGAAAUACCCACGGAAAUCCAGCAAUCCGUAUUUACCGGAGCGCUCACUCUGUGCGGAGCACCGGAUGGGGGCCAUCUCCGGCGCUUCUUUCCCAUCGAAUUGGAGAACGCACCUCCGACCGGACUGGGAGCUCGCUGCGGGCAGGGAUUGUCUCCGUCUAUUGCCGUAUUGCACUUUCCCCAUGUAAGCGCUCCAUAAAUACCAUAGAAUGAACGAACGAACGAACUGGAUACGCCAUCGGAAUAUGGCGUUCUGACCCCAGCUCCGCCACUCGCGUGCUGUGUGACUCUGGGUUUCCCUCUUGCACCUUACUGCUCCACUAAGCACAUCAAGUGGAUAAAUGUCAGCGGGAGCAGUGACGUGGGCAGAAGACAGUGGGUUAAGGUGUACUUUGACCACAGAAUCAACUAUCCCUCAAUCUCUUCCAUCAAGGUACCUUGCCAGAAGGUUGACUCAUCUUCUCCCACCCCCCCAUCCCUAGAGAAAAUUUGAAGUGAAGGGAUGUGAAAGGAAAUAGUUAUAAUAUCCUGUUUAGUGUUAAACAGAAGUGCUGCAUGAACAUUUUAAAGCGCUUCACAAGAACUUUUUCCUAGGGCAGCUGUUUAAAAUAAAGCAGUUCUGGAAGAAAACUGUUGAGAAGCUUCCUCUAAUGGGUGGUUUCCCAUCUACCUAGCCCAGCAGAAGCAUCUACAAACCACAAUCACAUAUGUCACAGAAAUGGGCAGAAAAUGCAGGAAAAGCAGGAAUGCUCAUUUCUGGAACAAUGAUUCUUUCACAGAGACAAAUGGUAGGUACUUACCUGGAGUGCAAUUCUUCAGACAGGAGAACCUAUGCUUCUGUUUAGUGCAGUCUCUACUGCUAUUUUUAGAAGCUUCCCAGUUUCAUCUCUACAACUUCCAUGACAACCUUCCCUUAUCCUCCCAAGAAUUGCGCAACUUGAAAAGAAUCUUACCACACAAAGUUUUACUUUCUAUUUAGUGAUGAACAGAGGAAAGAAUUCAAGAGCGUUGCCCAGCAUUCCAUGUUAUGACUAAACUGGAAGUUAAUGUCAAACAAAUACAGCUUCCCACUAUUUGGUGUAUGGAAAAGUCUUGGUGAUAUGAUGACCGUGAGGCUUCUAAACACCCAAAAUGAAUGACCCGGACACCACCAUAUUCCUUAAACUAUAAGGAACUGAUAUUUCUAGUGGGGAAAAAAGUUACUUACCUAAAC